UACGGAGGGGACUAGCGUUGUUCGGAAUUACUGGGCGUAAAGCGCACGUAGGCGGAUUUGUAAGUCAGGGGUGAAAUCCCGGGGCUCAACCUCGGAACUGCCUUUGAUACUGCAAAUCUCGAGUCCGGAAGAGGUGAGUGGAAUUCCUAGUGUAGAGGUGAAAUUCGUAGAUAUUAGGAAGGAACACCAGUGGCGAAGGCGACCACCUGGACUGAUACUGACACUGAGGUGCGAAAGCGUGGGGAGCAAACAGG
rnacentral:rRNA from 1 species